GCGUUGGUGGUUUAGUGGUAAAAUUCAUCGUUGCCAUGUCAAGGGUUAUAUCUCUUGAGCACGUCGAUGAGCCCCGGGUUCGAUUCCCGGCCGACGCA
rnacentral:tRNA from 1 species